rnacentral:tRNA from 1 species
GCUCAGUUAGUUAAGUGUCCAACUCUGGGUUUCAGCUCAGGUCAUGAUCUCACGGUUCGUGGGUUCGAACCCCACAUUGGGCU